AUUGAACGCUGGCGGCANGCCUAACACAUGCAAGUCGAGCGGUAGAGAGAAGCUUGCUUCUCUUGAGAGCGGCGGACGGGUGAGUAAUACCUGGGAAUCUGCCUGAUAGUGGGGGAUAACGUUCGGAAACGGACGCUAAUACCGCAUACGUCCUACGGGAGAAAGCAGGGGAUCUUCGGACCUUGCGCUAUCAGAUGAGCCCAGGUCGGAUUAGCUUGUUGGUGAGGUAAAGGCUCACCAAGGCGACGAUCCGUAACUGGUCUGAGAGGAUGAUCAGUCGCACUGGAACUGAGACACGGUCCAGACUCCUACGGGAGGCAGCAGUGGGGAAUAUUGCACAAUGGGGGAAACCCUGAUGCAGCCAUGCCGCGUGUGUGAAGAAGGCCUUCGGGUUGUAAAGCACUUUCAGUGGUGAGGAAGGAUGUAAGAUUAAUACUCUUGCAUAUUGACGUUAGCCACAGAAGAAGCACCGGCUAACUCCGUG
rnacentral:rRNA from 1 species